rnacentral:rRNA from 1 species
GAGUUUGAUCAUGGCCAGGACGAACGCUGGCGGCGUGCUUAACACAUGCAAGUGGUGCGACGAACCAGGGCUUGCCCUGGGGCAAAGCCGCGAACGGGUGAGUAACACGUGAGUAAUCUGCCCCGAUGACCGGGACAACCCGAGGAAACUCGGGCUAAUACCGGAUGAUGAGCCAGGGCGUAAGCCCUGUCUCUAAAGGUAGCUUCGGCCUCCGCAUCGGGAGGAGCUCGCGGCCCAUUAGCUUGUUGGUGAGGUAACGGCUCACCAAGGCGACGAUGGGUAGCUGGUCUGAGAGGACGAUCAGCCACACUGGAACUGAGACACGGUCCAGACUCCUACGGGAGGCAGCAGUGGGGAAUCUUGCGCAAUGCGCGAAAGCGUGACGCAGCAACGCCGCGUGGGGGAAGACGGCCUUCGGGUUGUAAACCCCUUUCAGGAGGGACGAAGGUUCACCGGUUAAUAGCCGUGUGGAUUGACGGUACCUCCACAAGAAGGUCCGGGUAACUACGUGCCAGCAGCGCGGUAA